GAUUUUCUAGUCUAACUCAUAAGACUUUUACUUUGAAAGUAAACAAUUAGUAACAAAUUACUAGAAAAUCU
rnacentral:tRNA from 1 species